rnacentral:rRNA from 1 species
GAUGAACGCUGGCGGCGCGCCUAACACAUGCAAGUCGAACGGCACCCCUCCUCGGAGGGAAGCGAGUGGCGAACGGCUGAGUAACACGUGGAGAACCUGCCCCCUCCCCCGGGAUAGCCGCCCGAAAGGACGGGUAAUACCGGAUACCCCGGGGUGCCGCAUGGCACCCCGGCUAAAGCCCCGACGGGAGGGGAUGGCUCCGCGGCCCAUCAGGUAGACGGCGGGGUGACGGCCCACCGUGCCGACAACGGGUAGCCGGGUUGAGAGACCGACCGGCCAGAUGGGGACUGAGACACGGCCCAGACUCCUACGGGAGGCAGCAGUGGGGAAUCUUGCGCAAUGGGGGGAACCCUGACGCAGCGACGCCGCGUGCGGGACGGAGGCCUUCGGGUCGUAAACCGCUUUCAGCAGGGAAGAGUCAAGACUGUACCUGCAGAAGAAGCCCCGGCUAACUACGUG